CCAUACAAAGCAUAUCAAUGUGCCUGGUAAGUAAUAAAUAUGGUCUCAAGUCACACAGUUUAAAUUUGUAUUUGAUCGCCCUUACCAAACUUUGGGACUGAUAAUUAAUGAACAAUAUUUUUAUACUGUACUGUCAUUAAUGUUUAGUGAAGAUUUGAAAAUUCUAGACUAAUUUUGUUUUAUCUUGUUUUUUUAUGUCUCAGUUUUGUGACUGGAGCUGGGUUGGCCAGUUCUCAUCUGUGUGAGUUGUUCCAGACACUUAAGUAUGUGGAUCCAAGGUGUUACAGAGAAGGUGGAUCCAGAAAAGUCAAGACAGAAACCUGUGUAGAACCUGACAAGCGGCUGGCUAAAUUACCCUUGUUUCAUAUGGAAUCAUUUCAUCAGGGGUUUUAUCAACAGUUCCACCAAAGAUUGGCAGACACACUUGCAUACUCCUGUGUGUUGCCCAUUUUUUUAAAAACCUUUUGUUAGAAGAGUGUGCUUUUUUUUUUUUUUUGGUAAAUGUAACCGGAUGUAUGCAGGGUUCAGGGGAACCCUGAAAAGAGCCUUAAGCUUAUGAUCUCCUUAGUAGAGUGAAGCACACAGUGAAGAUAACUGUUAAGGGAUUUUUUGGAAGGUAAGUCAUGUUCUCAUCUUUUGGCCUAGUAAGAAGCUAAACGUGAAGUUGGUCCUGGCUGUUACAUGCACCCUGAUGUUUACUUCUUUUUAUUUUCAUAUUCACUGUGUAAUCUAAAGAAGAAUGUAAUGAAAGGAAGGACAUUGGAAAAGAAAGAGGGAGUGUUUGGGGUAAUUUGUUCAGAGCAGAUUCCAGUAAAGAAACCUUGAAGGCCGUAGCUCUCCCCAUAGCAUUCUCCCUCGCAGCCUUUACUUUUUUCUCUAUUGCCUUCAAAGAUAACAAGUGGAGCAAAACCACUGCUAGUUAUUGUUUUUGGUUUAUAUGACCUGUUUUAUUUUAAAGCUGAUCUGUUACUCAUUCAUAUUAAUUGUAAAACUUUAAAAUUCCAUUGAUUUCUGUCUGUUUGUCUGUGCAAGUUCUUUUAUUACUAUAAACAAUCUUGUUUAUUUUGUUCAGUCUAUGAGAAGGUAUAAA